CACUCAUAACCAAACAUCAACAUUACACCAACACACAGACACUUUCUUAAUGCCUACAUUAUAUUCCGUCGCAAUUAGAGUUCUUGAAUUUUUUUCCCCUUUGUAGUCCUAAGAAAAUCUGCUGGUCCUCACAAUUAUUUGUAUUGCAAAACACCACAAUUUUGUCGGUGCUUGCUUUGCAAAAUUUUGGUCACAAAGUCUUCGGACACCCACUUUUCGAGAACUCUGCUUAAUUCUUUGAAGUAUUUAUUUUCUUAUAAAUCUUUGAAAGUAUAUAUAAAAAGAAUGAAAUAGGUG
rnacentral:lncRNA from 1 species